GGGGACCUUCGGGCCUUGCGCUAUCAGAUGAGCCUAGGUCGGAUUAGCUANUAGGUGAGGUAAUGGCUCACCUAGGCGACGAUCCGUAACUGGUCUGAGAGGAUGAUCAGUCACACUGGAACUGAGACACGGUCCAGACUCCUACGGGAGGCAGCAGUGGGGAAUAUUGGACAAUGGGCGAAAGCCUGAUCCAGCCAUGCCGCGUGUGUGAAGAAGGUCUUCGGAUUGUAAAGCACUUUAAGUUGGGAGGAAGGGCAGUAAGUUAAUACCUUGCUGUUUUGACGUUACCAACAGAAUAAGCACCGGCUAACUUCGUGCCAGCAGCCGCGGUAAUACGAAGGGUGCAAGCGUUAAUCGGAAUUACUGGGCGUAAAGCGCGCGUAGGUGGUUCAGCAAGUUGGAGGUGAAAUCCCCGGGCUCAACCUGGGAACUGCCUCCAAAACUACUGAGCUAGAGUACGGUAGAGGGUAGUGGAAUUUCCUGUGUAGCGGUGAAAUGCGUAGAUAUAGGAAGGAACACCAGUGGCGAAGGCGACUACC
rnacentral:rRNA from 1 species